rnacentral:misc_RNA from 1 species
GAAUUUCCAAAGAGAUCCUUCACUGGAAUCCUUGGGUGAAGAGCUCUCUGUGAAACAGUUAGCUGUCUCUGUGUGGCAUCCAAUAUUCUCUCACAUACAGUAAUUUUUACUCGUGAACGGCGUAUUGCUUGUCAUUACUAAUUCCUUUGAUCCGAGCUCAAGUAAGGUUACCCGCUGAAUUUAAGCAUAUAAUUAAGCGGAGGAAUAGAAACCAACAGGGAUUCCCAUAUUAGUGGCGAACGAAAUGGGA